CCCCUGUUCCUACUCUGAUUGGUCGGGAGCUUGCGGAAACCACCGUAACUGAAACUGACUUCGUUGCGGUUUUGCGAUUUUUUAAACAUGCAAAAAAUAUGAACCCGCAGAUACAUCAAAGUUAUUGAUAACAUUUGCAUGAGCACAAGCCGUUGCGUUAAUCUCGAAUUUCUCUUGGUUGUCACUGUUCAGUUUAUGUUUUCAUAGUGAUGGUAUCGAUAUCAUAGAAUUCCUCUUUUUGUAAGAACGUUGAGGCUCCUUGACUGAAAAGCCAAAGCUUUAGAAGCUAUAUAGCCUGCGAACAUACAGGCUCCCUGUCUAGGGCGAGCGGGGCUAGCCGAGAGCAGUCUGGUGACGAGGAGAGCGUUCGUCUCGCUCAAAAUAUAUAUUUCGCACUAAACGGGUCACUUCGCUCACAGGAUAUUUUUUUUCGCCCUCGCUGGGACCCUGUUUGCAGGCUAGAAGCCAUAGAGAAUCCAUUCUAGUCUGGAGCGCGGAAGGCUGUCCUAGACGGAACCGACUCUUUCCAGUUCUCCCCGUCCCUUGCUUCUUUUAUUUUAUUCACCGCUGAACAAAAUUGUGUUGGCUGCGGGCAAAUGGCAAAGAAAAAGAACUCAGCUAUCGGUUUAGCUUUGCUAUGGUAGACGGCACAGGUAGAGGAUGAAGCCAUAUACGGGAUAUGAACUGAAACGAAAACGUCUCAGAAAGGUAUGGAAUUCUCAGCAGCAGUUGGUGUACAUAGUUCAAUUCCCUCAUGAAAGCCAUACAGUAUGUCAAACUCUGGAAGGAGGUAUGGAAUUCUCAGCAGCAGUUGGUGUACAUAGUUCAAUUCCCUCAUGAAAGCCAUACAGUAUGUCAAACUCUGGAAGGAGCCUUAGAUUUCUUGUGUUGCCAUCCUGUUGGUCAUAAAACAUAUCAGCUGGGAUUUGAUAUCGAAGUGCUCUUCCAGUGAAGAAGGUCAUUUGGCCAAUUGACUUCCGAAUGACAGAGCUCCCCCACAUGAAGAUCAAACUGAACAGUGGCAACAGUGACGGGCAUUCCAUGAGAGCAAAGUGGUUCUGUAAAGGGUGGAACCUUUGUCUCGUUUGACAUCAUCGAUUUAUUCUCCAACAUGAUCGAGCAGAGAGUAGGAAGGAGAAAGGGAAAAAAGUAAAGUUAGUGGUGGGAAAGGUUCUCUACGAGAGGCCAUGUUUGUCGCAAUGGAGAAAAGAGGUCAAUGAUACAACCUCAAUAAGCUUGUUUUGUAAUCUGAUGAUAAAAGAACUUGCUCUGUUUUUCACAUCGUGUAGUCAGGGCGCUUAAAGUAUUCAGUAGGAAAAAUUAUGUUUUUUAUGCCAUUGAAUAAAUCCCUUAUUGCCCAACCUUGUCAGGUCAACAUGGCUGAAUAUUGCCCUCUUUCUCUUUUGCAUGAUUAUGGACCUUGUUUGCCUCCCGAUCCAGUGCAAGUAAAGAAAAAGCAGUUGGACGAUUUCCAUCCAUAUUGACCUCACACUCGGUCAAUAAGGCACAUGCAUUCUCUUGAGACUCAAAGCAUCGCCACUAAAAAAGCAUAAGUUUCCUCAGGAAGUUGAAAACAUAGUCGACAUUCAAGACUCUGGUGACGCUAUUUUCAAAUGGAAAGUUCAAGUCGAUUGGUUUCAGUUGCCGAUCGUGAUCGUCCAAAUGAGAUUAGUUUGAAACUGAACAAAGACUUGUUAGAAUCGACAGCCUGUGGAAUCCGUCUUCUGAUCAAUCAUUUGUUUCUCAUAACUCGCACGCGUCCUUGCAAGCCGAUACCAUGCACUCUACAAACAACUGUUACAGCGUUGUCUCUUGUUCAUGUCUAAAGUCUCUGUGUGAAUAUUUGCAGUUUAUAAUUGACAAAAAGUUGAUCUCUUGUAAUGUGCCCUCCCGCUCCUAUGCCAGCAAAAAUAUGAUCAUGUAGAAGCCGUAGACAUGAAAUUAAACGCCAGUGCGCUAAUGCUA